rnacentral:rRNA from 1 species
GUGAGUCAUCGAAUCUUUGAACGCACCUUGCGCUCCUUGGUAUUCCGAGGAGCAUGCCUGUUUGAGUGUCAUUAAUAUAUAAUCAACCCUCUUGUUUGAGUGGCUUGGAUGUGGGGGCUUGCUGGCCUCUUAAAAGGUUCAGCUCCCCUGAAAUGCAUUAGUGGAACGACCUGUUCAUUCAUUGGUGUGAUAACUAUCUACGCUAUUGAACGUGAGGCAGUUCAGCUUUCUAACUGUCCUUGGACAAUUCAUUGUUGUAUGUGACCUCAAAUCAGGUAGGACUACCCGCUGAACUUAAGCAUAUCAAUAAGCGGAGG